rnacentral:tRNA from 1 species
GGUUGUAGCUCAGUUGGUAGGGCGCUUGCCUGGCAUGUAAGCCCCUGUGUUCAAUCCCCAGCACCA